rnacentral:rRNA from 1 species
UUUCUGGCGGGAGCGGGUGGUCCGGCACUUAGUGUUGGUACUUUCCUGUCUCUUGCCAUCCUUGGGUCUAAGCUGUCUGGCAUUUAGUUGUCGGGCAGUGGCUGCCCAUCGUUUACUGUGAAAAAAUUAGAGUGUUCAAAGCAGGCUUAUGCCGUUGAAUAUAUUAGCAUGGAAUAAUAAGAUAGGACCUUGGUACUAUUUUGUUGGUUUGCGCACCGAGGUAAUGAUUAAGAGGGACAGUUGGGGGUAUUCGUAUUCAAUUGUCAGAGGUGAAAUUCUUGGAUUUCUGGAAGACGAACUACUGCGAAAGCAUUUACCAAGGAUGUUUUCAUUAAUCAAGAACGAAAGUUAGGGGAUCGAAGAUGAUUAGAUACCAUCGUAGUCUUAACCAUAAACUAUGCCGACUAGGGAUUUGUGGGUG